GAUGAACGCUAGCGGGAGGCUUAACACAUGCAAGUCGAGGGGUAACAUGGGGUAGUAAUACUCUGAUGACGAUCGGCGUACGGGUGAGUAUCGCGUAUGUAACCUACCCUAUACAGGGGGAUAGCCCGGAGAAAUUCGGAUUAAUACCCCAUAACAAUAUAUGAAGGCAUCUUUAGAUAUUUAAAGUUCCGGCGGUAUAGGAUGGGCAUGCGUAACAUUAGCUAGUUGGUAGGGUAACGGCCUACCAAGGCUACGAUGUUUAGGGGACCUGAGAGGGUGAUCCCCCA
rnacentral:rRNA from 1 species